rnacentral:rRNA from 1 species
GACGAACCGAGCGAACGUUGUUCGGAAUCACUGGGCUUAAAGGGCGCGUAGGCGGGCGCUCAAGGCUGUGGCGAAAUCCUCCGGCUCAACCGGAGAACGGCCAUGGAUACUGGGUGUCUCGAGGGUGAUAGGGGUAUGCGGAACUAUCGGUGGAGCGGUGAAAUGCGUUGAUAUCGAUAGGAACUCCGGUGGCGAAGGCGGCAUACUGGACCACUUCUGACGCUGAGGCGCGAAAGCCAGGGGAGCGAACGGG